CCGAAAAUGGACGGGGCUCAAGUCGACCACCGAUACCGCGGAGCACCGAAAGGUGAUCUUGUAGAAAGGCGUUGCGCUCGGGCAGAAGCAGGGCUGUGAAGUCCUGUGGACCGUGUACCGACGAGGAUCCUGGUGAGAGUAGCAGCAAAGUACGGUGAGAAUCCGUAUCGCCGCAGGGGCAAGGGUUCCUUGGCAAUGUUCGUCAGCCAAGGGUUAGUCGAUCCUAAGGUAGCUCUUAAUCGAGGCUAUCGAAAGGGAAACUGGUUAAUAUUCCAGUACUGAAGCAGUCUUUGCCCAUACCUACGGAGUAGGAUAUCUGGAGUACACUUGUCUGUGUAUUCAAGCGUUUAAACUCAUGAAGAACCGUCAUGGUGAGAAGUGAGCGAAUGCGUGACGAGGGGGACGAAAGUCCCCUUCUGGAAAUUCCUAGUCCCCAUGAAAAUGGUAUGGUUACAACUGUUUCAUUCGUACCAAGAACCGACACAGGUGUCCCUAGGUGAGUAGCCUAAGGCGUGUUAGCAUAAUCUAGGCGAGGGAACUCGGCAAAUUAGCCCUGUAACUUCGGGAUAAGGGGUGCCAGCGAUGAAAAUAGCUGGUCGCAGUGACAAGGGAACUCCGACUGUUUAGUAAAAACAUAGGUCGCUGCUAGUUCGAAAGGAUGUGUAUAGCGGCUGAAGCCUGCCCAGUGACGGCAUCUGAAACUCUGUUUCAACGGAGCGAAGGACCGUUAAACGGCGGGGGUAACUAUGACCCUCUUAAGGUAGCGUAAUACCUUGCCGCUUAAUUGGCGGCUUGCAUGAAGGCCCAACGAGAGUUCCACUGUCCCCGCCUGGAAGCUAGUGAAAUUAAUAUUGUCUGGUGCACAAUCCAGACCCCUCCAUCUGAAAGCGAAGACCCCAUGGAGCUUUACUGCAACCUGUAGUUGUGGUAUGAGUCCGCAUGUGUAGGGUAGGCGGGAGUCGUUACCCAGGAAGUGACGCUAGUCACUCUCCGAGACGCCGAUGAAACACCGCCCUUGCGGAUUCGUAUCACUAACCUUCAAGGAGGAACAUCUAUAGGUGGGCAGUUUGGGUGGGGCGCCACGCCCUCAAAAAGAUAACAAGGGCGCCCAAAGGUCAGCUCAGGCAGGUCAGAAAUCUGCCGGAGAAUGCAAGGGUAAAAGCUGGCUUGACACGGAUCCAGACAAUAAGGAUCGGUGAUAGGAAACUACGGCCUAGCGAACCAAUCAACCUCCUGAAUGGGGGUGAUUGAUGACAGAAAAGUUACCCUGGGGAUAAUUGAGUUGUCACCAGCAAGAGUUCAUAUCGACCUGGUGGCUUGCUACUUCGCUGUCGGCUCUCCCUAUCCUGGUGGUGCAGCAGCUGCCAAGGGUGGGGUUGUUCGCCCAUUAAAAGGGAUCGUGAGCUGGGUUUAGACCGUCGUGAGACAGGUUUGUUGCUUUUUGAUGGAGGUGUUAGUGCCUGAUGAGAAGGACCUUUUAGUACGAGAGGAACAAAGGUUCGUCGCCUCUAGUUGAUCAGUUGUCUGGCAAGGCAUUGCUGAGCAGCCACGCGAUGUAUGGAUAAGCGCUGAAAGCAUCUAAGCACGAAGCCAUCUUAAAAAAGAGGCACUAAUGGGACGCUUGUAAAUGACAAGCUUGAUAGGAGUGGGAUGUAAGUAUCAAGGUUUGCGCCGAGGUAUUCAGUCCGCACUUACUAACGUCCCGUAAGCGUCGCUG
rnacentral:rRNA from 1 species